CCGAGUUGUAAUCUAUAGAGUCGUUUUCCGUGCCGGACUGUGUCCAAGUCCCUUGGAACAGGGUAUCAAAGAGGGUGAUAAUCCCGUACUUGACACAAUGACCGGUGCUCUGUGAUACGUCUUCUACGAGUCGAGUUGUUUGGGAAUGCAGCUCAAAAUGGGUGGUGAGUUCCAUCUAAAGCUAAAUAUUGGCGAGAGACCGAUAGCGAACAAGUACCGUGAGGGAAAGAUGAAAAGCACUUUGGAAAGAGAGUUAAACAGUACGUGAAAUUGUUAAAAGGGAAACGAUUGAAGUCAGUCGUGACUGAGAGGCUCAGCCGGUUCUGCCGGUGUAUUCCCCUCAGUCGGGUCAACAUCAGUUUUGUUCGGUGGAUAAGGGCAGUUGGAAGGUGGCACCCUCGGGUGUGUUAUAGCCAGCUGUCGCAUACAUCGGAUGAGACUGAGGAAUGCAGCUCGCCUUUAUGGCCGGGGUUCGCCCACGUUCGAGCUUAGGAUGUUGACAUAAUGGCUUUAAACGAC
rnacentral:rRNA from 1 species